rnacentral:rRNA from 1 species
AUACGGAGGAUGCGAGCGUUAUCCGGAUUCAUUGGGUUUAAAGGGUGCGCAGGCGGCGUGCCGAGUCAGCGGUCAAAUCCACGGGCUCAACCCGUGGCCGCCGUUGAUACUGGCAUGCUUGAGUGGGUGCGACGUGCGCAGAAUGCGUGGUGUAGCGGUGAAAUGCAUAGAUAUCACGCAGAACCCCGAUUGCGAAGGCAGCGCCCGAGCACUUUACUGACGCUGAGGCACGAAAGCGUGGGUAUCGAACAGGAUUAGAUACCCUGGUAGUCCACGCGGUAAACGAUGAAUACUGGUUAUCCGGGCGUUUUAGCCUGGGUGACUGAAGCGAAAGCAUUAAGUAUUCCACCUGGGGAGUACGCCGGCAACGGUGAAACUCAAAGGAAUUGACGGG